AGAAGGUGGGUAAUAACUAGUUAUAAUAAGUACAAUAUGUAUUUAUCUCAAGUAUAUAUAAAUAGUACUUUUGGAUAGGCAAACUUUUCUAGAGCAGUUGGUACCAUUUCUAAAACAAUAUGUAUGUGGGUUUCUGUCAGUUUUUCAGGCUGUAUGGCCAUGUUCCAGUAGCAUUCUCUCCUGGUGUUUCACCUGCAUCUGUGGCUGGCAUCUUCAGAGGUUCUUCUGGAGGUCAAAUGGGCCGGCGAGCGACGUGUGAAACUUUCUAAGGGAAACGGCAGGAUAAAAAACGUAAUAAUCCAUAAGUGCAAACUGCAACAGUGGCAUAUUGUUCACCCCCCGCGGGGCACUAAUCCUACGCGACUCUCAACACUGGUGCUUUCACACCACAAAUAUUUGUGCCACGCAGCAGAUUGUAUCAAGAUAACAGCAAGCAACAGCAGCAAAUAUUGACAAAAGUGGACAAAAGUGUUGCUUUGGCAACCGGAGUUCCUUAACAGUAACCACCAGCAGUGGUGUUUGUCGGAGUAGCUAGGCUUCAGGGCUUUUUGAGAAGUUAAAAUUAAACAGAAUUCUUUUGGACACAGCCAUUGAGAAUCGCUGGGCCAGAACAUAUGUACCAUUGAAAAAAACCCAGCUCUUUUUCUUAACUUGCAACUCUGCUUCGUGGGAGAGGCAUUGAAAGGUUGCCUUUCGAAGGGAGGAUUCGACUGACAGGAGCCAUCACUGGUUGUCAAAGAAACCCAAACAUAUUUCCGCUCUUGUGGCUCUUAUUUAGAAGGACUAUUUUGCUCUGAGCAGGAAGGACAAUAGCUCAGGUGCUCCUCGCAAGUCUGCAGAAGACAAAACUUUGGCCGUAAGGAAGACCAAGAUGGGCUGCACCACCAGCAAGAGUGCCACCGUUGUAGAAGUGAGUGAAAAGCCUGGAGACAAGCCCCAAGGAGACGAAAACAACCAAGAUAGAGACUCGGUGGCAAAGACUGACAGCAACCAAAAUGCUUCCUGUAAAGACGGCACCAGUGAAAGCUGAAACGGGAGAGAAAUCCCCAUUCAAAGAUAGACCUGGACAGAUGAACUUCUUUAUUUUGUGAGAUGACCAAUGGAUCCUAUCUUCAGACACUUUCUUCAGGAGCCACACAACAAAUCUUUGCGGAAGUACAGUGGACUCUCUGUAUCCACUGAUUCUUGACUAUAAGGGAGAACCUUUUACUACGCCAUUGCAUAUAAUGGGAAUGGAGCAUCAAUGGAUUUCGGUAUCCACAGGAGGUCCUGGAACCAAAGCCCAGCAGAUACCAAGGACCAUAUCGGUUUGGUCUUCCGUUUGGUUGUCCUGUGCCGAGAUGAGGAUCUGCUAAGGUCCAGAUGAGAUUCUGCUACCUCUACAAAUGGAUUGGUUUUGUUGUUUCACCCAUCUGAAUGGUCAUCUACUCUUCCUGAAAUGAAAUUCAAAUCAAAUUUUGAGAACUUUCAAAAAAACAUUUUCAGAAUCAGCGUAUCUCUCAAGAGCCAUAGUGCAUGAUCUAAAAUUAAAUUUAAAAUUAAGAUUCGUCCUUGAACAAAAGACCCAAGGAACUUCAAGGGAAGCCACUGAAUAUCAUGGAAAUGGAGCAUCAAUGGAUUUCAGUAUCCACAGGAGGUCCUGGAACCAAAGCCCAGCAGAUACCCAAGGACCAUAUCGGUGUUGUCUUCCAUUUGGUUGUUCUAUGUUGAGAUGGGGAUCUACUAAUGCCCAAAGGACAUUAUUCUACCUCUACAAAUGGAUUGAUUUUGUUGUUUCACCCAUCUGAAUGGUCAUCUACUCUUCCUGAAAUGUAAUUCAAAUCAAAUUUUGAGGACUUUAAAAAAAAAACCUUUUCAGGAAACCCUCUAGCUAUGAUAUUAAUGUAUCCCUCAAGAACCAUAGUGCAUGAUCUAAAAAUUUAAUUUAAAAUUAAGAUUCAUCCUUGAACAAAAGACCCAAGGAACUUCAAGGGAAGCCACUGAAUAUAAUGGGAAUAGAGCAUCAAUGGAUUUCGGUAUCCACAGGAGAUCCUGGAACCAAAGCCCAGCACAUACCCAAGGACCAUAUUGGUGUUGUCUUCCAUUUGGUUGUGAAAUGCUGAGAUGGGGAUCUACUAAUGCCCAAAGGACAUUAUUCUACCACUACAAAUGGAUUGAUUUUGUUGUUUCACCAAUCUGAAGGGUCAUCUACUCUUCCUGAAAUGAAAUUCAAAUCAAAUUUUGAGGACUUUCAAAAAAACAUUUUCAGAAAACCCUCUAGCUAUGAUAUCAGUGUAUCUCUCAAGAGCCAUAGUGCAUGAUCUAAAAUGAAAUUUAAAAUUAAGAUUCAUCCUUGAAAAAAAGACCCAAGGAACUUCAAGGGAAGCCACUGAAUAUCAUGGAAAUGGAGCAUCAAUGGAUUUCGGUAUCCACAGGAGAUCCUGGAACCAAAGGCCAGCAGAUACCAAGGACCAUAUUGGUGUUGUCUUCCAUUUGGUUGUCCUAUGUUGAGAUGGGGAUCUACUAAUGCCCAAAGGACAUUUUGCUACCUCUAAAAAUGGAUUGAUUUUGUUGUUUCACCCAUCUGAAUGGUCAUUUAUUCUUCCUGAAAUUAAAUUUGAAUCAAAUUUUGAGGACUUAAAAAAAAACCUUUUCAGAAAACCCUCUAGCUAUGAUAUCAGUGUAUCUCUCAAGAGCCAUAGUGCAUCAUCUAAAAUGAAAUUUAAAAUUAAGAUUCAUCCUUGAACAAAAGACCCAAGGAACUUCAAGAGAAGCCAAAGAAACACUGAUACACUCAGUGAACACGUCAGAAGUGUAGAGGACAUGUUAUUCACCACCAAAAGUUAUCUUUCCAGACAUUUGGGGCUAAGACUGAAGCAAAAUAACUCCAACUGGAAGAAAUGGAAUCUCCCACUAUCUUUGAUCAAAGGCAGCCAAUAUUCUGAUAUCAAUUCUCCAUUCUGUUUAGCUGUACUCGGCUGCCGAAGGUUAAGUUGCAGUUUAAUGUGUUUAAAGAAAGUCUUGAAAAAUCUGAUUGAAUUUCUUUUUUUCCAAGGCAGUCUAAUGUCAUGGUUCGGUUAUGUUGUUAAUGAAGUGUUAAUGUUAAUGAAAACUCUACUAAUCUUUAACAUCGUGUUAUCCAGAGGGUUAAAUGCUGACACGAUAUUCUGAGGAACGGCAUGAAUCAUAGACAGAUGUGCAAAUUAUGGCUGGAUUUUUAUUGCCCAGCUCCGUAGGAUCGAAAUGGUAAAUGUUUCAAUGGCUUUUUAAAAAACGAGAUGUGAUCAAAGAGUUGAAACCUCAUCACUCUUUCUCUCUUUUUUUCUGUCUCCCUAAUAAAAUUUCAUCAAUAUCAGGUA